ACAAUUUUUUGUAACAUUAUACACUUUACAAUUUAUACAUAUAUUUUGUAUUAUUUAUUAAUGAAAAUGUGUGUGUGUGUGUGUGUGUGUGUGUUAUAGAAAAGUAUAGAAAUUAAUACUUUUAUUUGGCAAGGAUGCUUUAAAUUGGUCAAAAGUGAUUAUAAAUACAUUUAUCAAUUUCAGAUUAAUGCUGUUCUUUUAUUUAUCAAAGAAACCUGAAAAAUUCUACUCAGCUGUUUUCAACAUAAAUAUAAUAAUAAUAAUAAAUGUUUUUGAGCAGCAAAUUAGCAUAUUAGAAUGAUUUCUGAAGGAUCGUGUGACUGGAGUAAUGAUGCUAAAAUUCAGCUUUGAAAUCACAUGAAUAAAUUAGAUUUUAAAAUAUGUUCAAAUAGAAAACAGUUAUUUUAUAUAGUAAAAAUAUUUCACAUUUUUACUGUUUUUGCUGUACUUUGGAUCAAAUACAUGCAGGCUUGGUGAGCAGAAGAGACUUCUUUAAAAAAAAAAAAUCUUACUAUUCAAAAACUUUUGUUUGGUAGUGUAUAUACUAUAUUCAAGUCAGAGCACUCUCACUAAUUUAAGAAGCACCCUCAGCGAUUUGAUUUUGGAGCUGAGGUCGUUCCAGAGGAUCCAGGCGUUCGUAGAUAAACUCACACAGAACGAAACUCGAUGGCGAAAUAGACCCGCCCACUCGAGAGUCUCCACGCCCCGCCCACUCGAGAGCCUCCACGCCCCGCCCACAGCACAACAGAACCCACCCUAAACAACAACACUUCUGCUCCGGUUGAGAAACACUUGAAGACACGGUCUCCUCCGACACUUUCUCUGGACACUAGAAGAUCUUUACACGAGGGAAGAUGCAUUCAGGCAGCCUUGAGAAAGUGGGUUCGCUGAGGAGACGGACGCUGUCUCGAGGAAUGAGCGAAGAGGAGUCUCUAAGACACAUUAUCAGAGACGCAGAAGAAUCGAGCAGACACCUGUCACGCAGCGAUAGCAGAUAUGGAUCAUUAAAAAGAGGACAAAGACAAGAAAGCCAUAGUGAAGAUGAUCUACUUACUGAAAACAUAGAAAUGACGGAGCUGAGAGCGAGCUACGAGGACUGUCUGCAGGAGGUGCGGACCCUGGAGCUGCAGCAGGAGGCUCUUCUGUUCCAGGUGGACUGUCUUCAGGACGUCCUCGAGGGCACGGAGGAGAUGCUCGCUGAGGCCCAGAGAGACAAUCACAAUCUCACCAUGGAGCUGGAGCGAGAACGAGAGAUGAGGAGGAAGUCGGAGGACAUGCUUGCCUCAUUAAAGCAGGAGCUGGAGAGGUUAAGAGAGGAAAGAAGCAGCGAGCCGCUUCAGUCGAGGCCGGCGGGGCCCGUCUGCCUCCUGGAGGGGACAUCAGUGGACCGAGACGAACAUCCGCUCGCACACAGCGAAGGCACCUCCGUGGAUCCGAGCACGAGCCAGCUGUUACAGCUGAAGACAGCGGUCAGCCAGACCCUGAGUGCGUCAGUGUUGCACAGUCAGAAGCCUGGUGCUCAGGGUGGAGAUGAUUACGACGAAAGCAGCGGCUAUGAAGACGCUCCGUCCGAGUUCUCGCCCAGUCCGUCCACUCCAGACACGCAGCCGGACGGAGCUCUGCUGGACAGCGAGGCUGAAGAGGGAGGAGUUGGGAUGAAUGACUCCGAGUCUGGCCUCUCUAAAAGUUCAGAUUCUUGUGCUCUCUCUUAAAUUAUUCUAGUUCUGUAAAACGAUUAAUCACAUCCGAAAUAAAAGGUUUUGUUUACAUAAUAUAUGUGUGUAU
ensembl:lncRNA